CNAUACNUGCAAGUCGAACGGGGUAGCAAUACCUAGUGGCGCACGGGUGAGUAACGCGUGGAUAAUCUGCCUUAGAGUGGGGGAUAACUAGUCGAAAGAUUAGCUAAUACCGCAUAAGACCACAAGAACUGCGGUUCAAGGGGUCAAAGGUUUUUCGCUCUAAGAUGAGUCCGCGUAAGAUUAGCUAGUUGGUGAGGUAAUGGCUCACCAAGGCGACGAUCUUUAACUGGUCUGAGAGGAUGAUCAGUCACACUGGAACUGAGACACGGUCCAGACUCCUACGGGAGGCAGCAGUAGGGAAUAUUGCACAAUGGAGGAAACUCUGAUGCAGCGACGCCGCGUGAGUGAUGAAGGCCUUCGGGUCGUAAAGCUCUGUCGCAGGGGAAUAACACAAUGAAUGUACCCUGUAAGAAAGGAUCGGCUAACUUCGUGCCAGCAG
rnacentral:rRNA from 1 species